GAAUAGUACCGUGAGGGAAAGGUGAAAAGAACCCCGGGAGGGGAGUGAAAUAGAACCUGAAACCCUACACUUACAAGCUGUGGGAGCGCAUUAUUCGCGUGACCGCGUACUUUUUGUAGAACGGGCCAACGAGUUACGUUAUGUGGCAAGGUUAAGCACUUAAGGUGUGGAGCCGAAGCGAAAGCGAGUCUUAACUGGGCGCCAUAGUCACAUGACGUAGACCCGAAACCGGGCGACCUACCCAUGAGCAGGAUGAAGCGAAAGUAAAAUUUCGUGGAGGUCCGAACCCACGUACGUUGAAAAGUGCGGGGAUGACUUGUGGGUAGCGGUGAAAUUCCAAUCGAGCUCGGAGAUAGCUGGUUCUCCCCGAAAUAGCUUUAGGGCUAGCCUUGAAUGUAGAGAUGUGGAGGUAGAGCACUGAAUGUCCUAGGGGGUAUUGCACUUACCGAAGACUAUCAAACUCCGAAUGCCAUUAUCUUUUAUUCAGGAGUCAGACUAUGGGUGAUAAGGUUCAUAGUCGAGAGGGAAAGAGCCCAGACCGUCAGCUAAGGUCCCUAAAUGUAUGUUAAGUGGUAAAGGAUGUGGGAUUGCACAGACAACCAGGAUGUUGGCUUAGAAGCAGCCACUCAUUUAAAGAGUGCGUAAUAGCUCACUGGUCGAGUGAUCCUGCGCCGAAGAUUUCCGGGGCUAAAACAUACUACCGAAGCUACGGCAUCAUAUGAUGAUGGGUAGGGGAGCUUCCCAUGCAGGCUGAAGCGAUACCGUAAGGAGUCGUGGACAGUAUGGGAGAGAGAAUGUUGGCAUGAGUAGCGAGAUGAGGGUGAGAAUCCCUCAGGCCGUAAACCCAAGGUUUCCAGGGGAAGGUUCGUCCACCCUGGGUUAGUCGGGACCUAAGCUCAGGCCGAAAGGCGUAGGCGAUGGACAACAGGUUGAGAUUCCUGUACUACCGAUAAUCGUUUGAGAGAAGGGAUGACACAGUAGGAUAAGCUGAGCACACUGUUGGUUAAGUGUGUCUAAGCGUUGAGGCAGACUAGAUAGGCAAAUCCGUUUAGUUAAUGCUGGGGCGCGAUGGGGAGCGAAACUAAGUAGCGAAGCAGCUGAUUUCACACUGUCGAGAAAAGUCUCUAUCGAGAUUAAAGGUACCCGUACCGCAAACCGACACAGGUGGGUGAGGAGAGUAUCCUAAGGCCAGCGAGAGAACUGUUGUUAAGGAACUCGGCAAAAUGACCCCGUAACUUAGGGAUAAGGGGUGCCCCAGCAAUGGGGCCGCAGAGAAUUGGCCCAAGCGACUGUUUACCAAAAACAUAGGUUUCUGCUAAGUCGCAAGACGAUGUAUAGGAGCUGACGCCUGCCCGGUGCUGGAAGGUUAAGGGGAUCUGUAAGAGCAAUCGAAGCAGUGAUCUUAAGCCCCAGUAAACGGCGGCCGUAACUAUAACGGUCCUAAGGUAGCGAAAUUCCUUGUCGGGUAAGUUCCGACCCGCACGAAAGGCGUAACGAUUUGGGCACUGUCUCAACAACAGACUCGGUGAAAUUGUAAUCCCGGUGAAGAUGCCGGGUACCUGCGACAGGACGGAAAGACCCCAUGGAGCUUUACUGUAGCUUGACAUUGGGUUUCGAUACUACAUGUACAGGAUAGGUGGGAGACUAAGAAAUCAGGGCGUCAGUUUUGAUGGAGUCACCCUUGGGAUACCACCCUUGUAGUAUUGGGACUCUAACCAUAGGCCAUGAAUCUGGUCUUGGGACACUGUCUGGUGGGCAGUUUGACUGGGGCGGUCGCCUCCCAAAAGGUAACGGAGGCGCUCAAAGGUUCCCUCAGUACGGUCGGAAAUCGUACGAAGAGUGUAAAGGCAAAAGGGAGCUUGAUUGCAAGACAUACAGGUCGAGCAAGGUAGAAAUACGGACUUAGUGAUCCGGUGGUUCUGAGUGGAAGGGCCAUCGCUCAACGGAUAAAAGCUACCCUGGGGAUAACAGGCUUAUCUCCCCCAAGAGUCCACAUCGACGGGGAGGUUUGGCACCUCGAUGUCGGCUCAUCACAUCCUGGGGCUGUAG
rnacentral:rRNA from 1 species